CAGUAGCCACGGUAAUACGUAGGUGGCAAGCGUUGUCCGGAAUUAUUGGGCGUAAAGGGCUCGCAGGCGGUUUCUUAAGUCUGAUGUGAAAGCCCCCGGCUCAACCGGGGAGGGUCAUUGGAAACUGGGAAACUUGAGUGCAGAAGAGGAGAGUGGAAUUCCACGUGUAGCGGUGAAAUGCGUAGAGAUGUGGAGGAACACCAGUGGCGAAGGCGACUCUCUGGCUUGUAACUGACGCUGAGGAGCGAAAGCGUGGGGAGCGAACAGGAUUAGAUACCCCAGUAGUCCCUGUCUCUUAUAC
rnacentral:rRNA from 1 species